rnacentral:lncRNA from 1 species
CUCGUGGAACCUGCACGGAGCAUGUCAGCGGACGAGGAGCAAGAAACGGAGAGGCAGAACAAAGCCUUCCGCGAAGACUCGAGAGUCGUUAACUCGUCGAUCCGAACAAGCACAAGCGGAUUCCACUCGUUGCUCGUCUGAAGUGAGUCUCCUUCCCCCUUCAAAUCGUCGACUACGAGUACUGUGCGUCUGAUGUCGUGUAUUCUUUUACCUGCUGCAUUGCUGGCAGAACCUCUGGCGGAAGCCGGCGACCAUGACGACGGCGGCCUUGGAGUGGGCCUCGCAGACCUUGUGCCGGCGGUGGUAGCGCUUCGCCUCGGUGAGGUCAGCGGUGCAAUUCUCGGCCUGAC